GAGGAGAAGCUCUUGAGCGCAUUUAUGAGCGUUUGGAUGCAAUGGAUGCUGCAACUGCUGAGAAACGUGCUGCUGAAAUAUUAUUUGGUCUUGGUUUUACCAAAGAGAUGCAAGCGAAGAAAACCCGAGAUUUUUCUGGUGGAUGGAGAAUGAGGAUCGCUUUGGCACGUGCCCUGUUUAUGAACCCAACUAUCUUGUUGCUUGAUGAACCUACUAAUCAUCUUGGUAAGUUUUUUUUUUCUUAUAGUAGUUUGCAGCUUAAUCUUUAUAAUAAUGCUUGUUUUUGUUCCUUUUUUGGAUGGCUUCAUAAUACUUGAAGCUACUAGCACCAAGUGGUAAAUAAUAUAUGUACUUUAAUAUUUUCUCUUCCCCUUAAUCUGGUGUUGAUCCACAUGAAAUCAAAUUUGUCAGAGAUAACAUUCUACUUUUAGCUCUCACGUAUACAAGUGUGAAGCAUUAGCAAUGAUCUGUAUAUUCAGUUUUUCUAUGUUUGUAUUAUGUGUAGUACCUGUAUGAGAAUGUGAUGUGCCCACUUUUGACAAUACCUGUGUUACUUGCGAUUUUUUAACAUUUUGUAUACAAGUUAUGUGCUGCAUUAACUGCGAAUCUUGUAGUUGCUCAAUUGCAUGAUGUAUUUAGUACUGAAAUACGUAUGUUGCUUUAGUAAGCAACCUUUAGCUUAAAUCAUCAAAAGUUUCUCUUAAACUGAUACACACAUUAAAAACGGUGUGUGUACUGUGUACUAUUAUACUACGAUAUUUGUUUAAGAUUGGUUAAUGAUUUUGAAUCUUCCAUUUGGUUUAUGUUCUACUUGGUUAAAAAUUUGUUGUGGACUGCAAAUAUGUCUCUUCUUCUGAUCAAAUGUGUUUUCUUGGAUGAGCAUGUUACUCUGUUUUGUUUGACAAUUGCAAAUGCUGCUUGUUCAACCUAUCAUCUCUAUUGUUAACAAAUUAUGUCACUACUCUAAUGUUUAACUGCAUCUAAAUACAGAUUUAGAAGCUUGUGUUUGGUUGGAAGAGAUGUUGAAGAAAUUUGAGCGUAUCUUGGUUGUUGUUUCUCACUCCCAGGACUUUCUAAAUGGUGUCUGCACAAAUAUCAUACACAUGCAGAGCAAACAGUUGAAAAUGUAUACAGGAAAUUUUGACCAAUAUGUUCAAACCCGUUCAGAACUCGAGGAGAACCAGAUGAAGCAGUACAAGUGGGAGCAGGAUCAGAUUGCUAAUAUGAAAGAGUACAUUGCUCGAUUUGGACAUGGUUCAGCUAAAUUAGCUCGCCAGGCACAGAGCAAAGAAAAAACUUUAGCAAAAAUGGAGCGUGGUGGCCUCACACAGAAAGUGGUUAGGGACCAGGUUCUGGUUUUCCGAUUCGUUGAUGUAGGGAAUCUUCCACCACCAGUGUUGCAAUUUGUUGAAGUCUCGUUUGGCUAUACCCCGGAUAAUCUCAUCUACAAGAACAUUGAGUUUGGUGUCGAUCUUGACUCAAGGAUUGCAUUGGUUGGACCCAAUGGUGCUGGGAAGAGCACAUUGCUGAAGCUGAUGACAGGCGAUCUGGUUCCGAACGAGGGCAUGGUACGUCGGCACAAUCACUUGCGCAUUGCGCAGUUCCAUCAACACUUGACAGAGAAACUUGAUGUGGAAAUGUCGGCUCUCCAGUUCAUGAUGAAAGAGUACCAAGGAAAUGAGGAAGAUAAGAUGAGGGCAGCCAUUGGGAGGUUUGGGCUAUCUGGGAAAGCUCAAGUAAUGCCAAUGAAGAACUUGUCAGAUGGGCAAAGAAGCCGUGUUAUUUUUGCAUGGUUAGCAUGGAGGCAGCCACAGAUGUUGCUCCUGGAUGAGCCAACUAACCAUUUGGAUAUUGAGACUAUAGACUCACUUGCUGAGGCAUUAAAGGAGUGGGAUGGAGGCUUGGUUCUCGUAAGUCACGACUUCAGGCUUAUAAACCAAGUGGCCAAAGAAAUUUGGGUGUGUGAAAAUCAAGCUGUGACCCCCUGGUCUGGUGAUAUCAUGGGUUUCAAGGCACACUUGAAGAAACAAGCUGGUCUAUAAGAUUGGAAGGGUCAAAUAUGCUGGAUUUACAUAUAUUCUAUAGUAAGGUGUACUAGGCUUACGGUUAUCAAAUCCCAUUUUUGGAGUAAUACGUUUGUAUGUUCUUUCACAUGGAUGAUGAUGAAAGCCGGUGGAGCAACGGAAGAUUCUUCAUGACAAUAUUAUUUAAAAUAUAAAAUCUGUACUGCUGUCUGUAUUUUUCAGCUGAUAUAGUAGUAGCUUAGUUUACAUUUUGCUUUGUGUUGGUACUAUAUUUGCAUUUAGUCUUGGUUUGUGCCAAGAAAUAUACUCAAGGGGGAUCAUGGAUGUGUUGCCUAUGUAAAACCUAUCUAUUUGAUAUAUGAAUCAUGUUUUCUCGCCAGUCUUUCCUCUUCUGAUUCCUAUUUGCUCAUAAGUCAUAGGGGGACAAUAGGGAAAUACUACCAAUGCAUAGUAGUUUCUUUUCGUUCUAGAGUUUGCAGGAAAAAAAAGUGCACCGGUAAAUUGUACCAAAUUGAACUCCUGGUAUUCUAUUUUUUGAUUUUAACCAAUAUCAUUAGAUAUGUUCUUAAAUUUAAUGAUAUAAUUUUUGAUAAUAAAACCCAAUGGCAUUUAGUUUUUUCGAAUAAAUAUGUUUCUGACAAUUUUAAUAGCAAAAACAUGAAAUUUGAUUCUUGACUAUUCUCAUAUUAAUACCUAUUUUCUCUGUUUGAUCUUUUUUAUGUCCUUUUUAUAAAAAUGUUCUUUUGAAAUAUUUAUUCUAUUCUAUUUUCAAAAUAAUUAUUUCAAUUUUUUAUAAAAAACUAUGAACUUUUUAUUUUAAGUAUUUAAAUAAUACUCCAUCCGUCCCAUUUUAGUUGUCACAUUUGGUUUUGUGCCGGUCAAAUUGACUAAGGUUUGACUAAGUUUAUUAAUAUUUUAUCAAUUGACAAAAUAAAAAAAACAUGUCACCAGAAUUAACUUUUAAUCUACUUUAAAAUGUAAUUUUCAGUUUUUUAAAAUAAUGAGUGAGUGAUUUAUAAUAUUUGAUCAAAAUUUAGUCAAUUUAACCAACAAAAUUAGAAAUGUGACACUAAAAUGGGAUGGAGGACUAUACACAGACCUGACUUUGAUGACAAAUAAGCAGUUUUAAAACAUUACUAUACCAAUUUUUAAAAGAGAAAAUUGGUUAAAAAAGGAAUUGUCAAAAGGAGUAAAACAAAAAACAUACUCUCACGUGGGUUUAAGGAAGAAAAGGUCCAAGUGUCCAACAUAGGACGGUUUGACCUAACUAACCUUAACACCGCAUCCCCAAUAUAUCAUCGACGCAUGAUACAACAACACGUAACCCUCCACCAAAACCCUUAUUAUAAUAUAACACACACAUAUAUAUUCUUCUCGAACACCCCAGAUCUUCAAACCCUUGUUCCAUCUCUCUAGGUACCCUCCUGUCCUUCACUCCACAAUAUAUACGUUUGAUUGACGUUUUAUUCGAUUGGUUUUGAUGAUUUUGUUCUUCUGUUGAGACAGGAUCAAGAAGAAAGAAGAUGGUGUCUGAUGCAAGCAAAAAGAAGGCUGCCCAGAAGAAGGCAGCUGCGGCAGCCAAAAGGGGUGGCAAAUCUGUUGCUGCUGCUAUUGCCAAGGUUUCCAGCAGUACUAGUACCGAUAAUUUGAGUAGUAGGGUUGAAAAUCUUCAGAUUUCUGAUCGGACCUGUACUGGGGUUCUCUGUUCUCACCCUCUUUCCAGAGAUAUUCGUGUAUGUAUCUCCCUUUAUUAUUCAGUUUCCCCAAUUUUGAUUCGUUAUGUUUCUACAGAUAUUGUGAAAGCCUGUUUAUUUGUUGAGUUCUUGGUAAUGAAAAUUUCAUCUUUGCCUUUUUGAAGAAACAAACAAUCUUUGGUUGAAUCAAGAUUGGGAAAUUUUAUGAGAAUAUGCAUAAUUCGUUAAUCUUGGUUGGAUAUGUGUUUGUAAAGACUGUAGAUUUGUUAUUAUUUCGGUUUUUUGUUAAUGAAAUUUUGAUAUUUGAUUUGUAAAAAUUGAGAAAAUUAAUCUUUGUGACUUGGUUUAACUUGAUUUAUUUACCUAUUUUGGGAACAAGAACUAAACGUGCUUAGAAUCUGCUUGUAGAAUAAAGCCAGGGACUCGGGGCUGGGGAUGUAAAAUGUUUGCAGCAGACUGCAGACCUUGCCUCUUAUGUAAAGAUCCCGGCUUUCGAAGUUUGUGACAAAAUAGAGGCAUCAGUACAAUUUAUACAAGGUGAGAGAUGGUAAAUAUCAAGUACUGGAAUUAGUGGAAUCAAGAAACAUAUUAUUAACAAAACAUAUUAUUAACAAAAGAAGGAUUAAAAUACAGCACCAAUACAAAUUAUACAGGAACAUCAAGUACUAGUAUUAGUGGUAAUAAACAAUUAUAUUAAAGAAAAUAGGAUUUAAAACGAUAACACCGAGUCCGAGAGAAACUACUACAAGUCCCUCCAAGACCUCUAUACCAAGUCCAACAUGAUGGGUAACAGUUGUGAACAUAAAUCCAUUGUUUCUAAAUCUGUCUUGCAUCAACUCCUAUAUGACCUCAUGAGCUUAUAAAGGUUAACUCAUGUCUAGUAGCGUCAGCUGCUUAUACCAUGCCCUAGGCAUCAUGCCUUUCUUCCUCACCCAAAUAAGUAUGUUUACCACCUUUCUCAUUAGUGCUGAAGAUGAUUACUUAUGGAUGGCGUCAAAUCAUCACAUUCUUUAUAAGAAAUAAGAAACUGGGUGUUUCGAUGAUAUUUCAUAUUUGGAUUAUCUGAGAAAUAUAAUGAAUCUAUGCCAGGCAAGACUAAUAGUUGGAUUUUGUUAAGUUAUCUAUAAUACUUUGUGAUAUAACUCUUGGAUGAUCCAGGGAACAGGGCUGAAAUUUUAAUAUGUUGAAUAGAUAGUACCGGUUUAGGUUUUACAGCUAAAACUUUUAGGAUUGUAGGGGUUGUUUUAUCUUGCUUAGGCUUUUACUUGUACAUUUAAUGUAUAUUUUAGUUAUUGACAUGGCCGCUAGAAGAUUAAACUGUAGAUCCCAAGCAUUAUAGACAAAAUGUGAAAGGUUCAAAUGCACAAGUAUUUCAAUUUCUGUAGUUGACUAGUUAUCAUGUGAGAGAUAUCAGUGAAAUGUGAGAUGGGUGAAAAUUGGAGCUUCUGAUGUUGUAGGUUCCACUCAGACCUCAUUGUUUAUAGCCAAUCAGCCACGGUACCUAGGCAAGGACCUAGGAUUGCGGAUGGCUAACAAUCAAUAGGGUGCUCCAACCUCCAAUAUAGAUAUUUUCUUAUUCUCUAUUUGUUUAAACUGUUGUGCAAGUUUCUUCACUUGUUCAUUUUUUGGUCGAACUUUUAAAUACUGUCGUGUCUUUACAAAACGAACUGCAGUUUGUUGCCCUUUCUUCUUUAUAACCUGUAUUGCUUUUGUUUGCCUGUCCACUGUGGUUGUAUUGAUGCAGUGCUGAUAAUAUUUUUUUCUCGCAGAUAGAGUCGCUGUCUCUGACCUUUCAUGGACAUGAUCUUAUUGUUGAUUCUGAGCUGGAGCUUAAUUAUGGCAGGUUUGUUUUGGUGAUUGAAAAUUUUAUUUGAUGUGUUUAUGGUCAUUAGUUAUUUAGAUUUAUUAACUCUACAUGCAAUUUGUCUUUUCUUUACCAGACGAUAUGGUUUGCUCGGACUUAAUGGCUGCGGAAAAUCUACUCUACUUACAGCUAUAGGGCGCCGAGAACUUCCGAUUCCUGAUCACAUGGAUAUUUUUCAUCUCACGAGGGAGAUUGAAGCAUCUGAUAUGUCUUCACUCCAGGCUGUGAUAAAUUGUGAUGAAGAGAAGAUUAAACUGGAGAAAGAAGCUGAAGUUUUGGCCGCUCAGGUUUGUACUUAAAGUGAAAAAAUUUUGUGAUGGCAUCGUGGACUUGUUUUAUUUGUGAAUCAGUUGAUAAUAUCAGUUUUCUGUGUUUUAUAGGAUGAUGGUGGAGGAGAAGCUCUUGAGCGCAUAUAUGAGCGUUUGGAUGCAAUGGAUGCAGCAACUGCUGAGAAACGUGCUGCUGAAAUAUUAUUUGGUCUUGGUUUUACCAAAGAGAUGCAAGCGAAGAAAACCCGGGACUUUUCUGGUGGAUGGAGAAUGAGGAUUGCUUUAGCACGUGCCCUGUUUAUGAACCCGACUAUCUUGUUGCUUGACGAGCCUACUAAUCAUCUU
rnacentral:lncRNA from 1 species